UUUGAUAAUAAAAGAUUUUUAAAAAAACACGCCCGAUCUCGGAAGCUAAGCAGGUUCGGACCUGGUUAGUACUUGGAUGGGAGACCGCCUGGGAAUACCAGGUGCUGUAAGCU
rnacentral:rRNA from 1 species